UCAGCCCUAAACACAAAUAAUUUUAAAAACAAAAUUAUUCGCCAGAGUACUACCGGCAACAGCCUAAAACUCAAAGGACUUGGCGGUGCUUUAUACCCUUCUAGAGGAGCCUGUUCUAUAAUCGAUAAACCCCGAUAGACCUCACCAAUUCUUGCUAAUACAGUCUAUAUACCGCCAUCUUCAGCAAACCCUAAAAAGGAACAAAAGUAAGCGCAAUCAUAACACAUAAAAACGUUAGGUCAAGGUGUAACCUAUGAAAUGGGAAGAAAUGGGCUACAUUUUCUACUUCAAGAAAACCCACAUACGAAAGUUAUUAUGAAACUGAUAACCAAAGGAGGAUUUAGUA
rnacentral:rRNA from 1 species